UACGUAGGGUGCAAGCGUUGUCCGGAAUUAUUGGGCGUAAAGAGCUCGUAGGCGGUCUGUCACGUCGGAUGUGAAAACUCGGGGCUCAACCCCGAGCCUGCAUACGAUACGGGCAGACUUGAGUUCGGCAGGGGAGACUGGAAUUCCUGGUGUAGCGGUGAAAUGCGCAGAUAUCAGGAGGAACACCGAUGGCGAAGGCAGGUCUCUGGGCAUUAACUGACGCUGAGGAGCGAAAGCAUGGGGAGCGAACAGG
rnacentral:rRNA from 1 species